GAUGAACGCUGGCGGCGUGCCUAAUACAUGCAAGUCGAGCGAAUGGAUUAAGAGCUUGCUCUUAUGAAGUUAGCGGCGGACGGGUGAGUAACACGUGGGUAACCUGCCCAUAAGACUGGGAUAACUCCGGGAAACCGGGGCUAAUACCGGAUAACAUUUUGAACCGCAUGGUUCGAAAUUGAAAGGCGGCUUCGGCUGUCACUUAUGGAUGGACCCGCGUCGCAUUAGCUAGUUGGUGAGGUAACGGCACAUCAAGGCAACGAUGCGUAGCCGACCUGAGAGGGUGAUCGGCCACACUGGGACUGAGACACGGCCCAGACUCCUACGGGAGGCAGCAGUAGGGAAUCUUCCGCAAUGGACGAAAGUCUGACGGAGCAACGCCGCGUGAGUGAUGAAGGCUUUCGGGUCGUAAAACUCUGUUGUUAGGGAAGAACAAGUGCUAGUUGAAUAAGCUGGCACCUUGACGGUACCUAACCAGAAAGCCACGGCUAACUACGUGCCAGCCGCCGCGGUAA
rnacentral:rRNA from 1 species